GACGAACGCUGGCGGCGUGCUUAACACAUGCAAGUCGAACGGAAAGGCCCUGCUUUUGUUGGGUGCUCGAGUGGCGAACGGGUGAGUAACACGUGAGUAACCUGCCCUUGACUUUGGGAUAACUUCAGGAAACUGGGGCUAAUAUCGGAUAGGAGAUCCUGCUGCAUGGUGGGGGUUGGAAAGUUUCGGCGGUUGGGGAUGGACUCGCGGCUUAUCAGCUUGUUGGUGGGGUAGUGGCUUACCAAGGCUGUGACGGGUAGCCGGCAUGAGAGGGUGACCGGCCACAUUGGGACUGAGAUACGGAGCAGACGCCUACGGGAGGCAGCAGUGGGGAAUAUUGCACAAUGGGCGGAAGCCUGAUGCAGAAACGCCGCGUGCGGGAUGACGGCCUUCGGGGGGUAAACCGCUGUCGCCUGUGACGAAGCGUGAGUGACGGUAAUGGGUAAAGAAGCACCGGCUAACUACGUG
rnacentral:rRNA from 1 species